rnacentral:rRNA from 1 species
AAUAUUGGACAAUGGGGGGAACCCUGAUCCAGCCAUGCCGCGUGUGUGAAGAAGGUCUUCGGAUUGUAAAGCACUGUAAGCUGGGAGGAAGGGUUGUAGGUUAAUACCCUGCAAUUUUGACGUUACCAACAGAAUAAGCACCGGCCAACUUCGUGCCAGCAGCCGCGGUAAUACGAAGGGUGCAAGCGUUAAUCGGAAUUACUGGGCGUAAAGCGCGCGUAGGUGGUUCGUUAAGUUGGAAGUUAAAACCCCGGGCUUAACCUGGGAAUUGCUUUCAAAACUGACGAGCUAGAGUACGGUAGAGGGUAGUGGAAUUUCCUGUGUAGCGGUGAAAUGCGUAGAUAUAGGGAGGAACACCAGUGGCGAAGGCGACCACCUAGGCUAAUACUGACACUGAGGUGCGAAAGCGUGGGGAGCAAACAGG